UACGAAGGAUCCAAGCGUUGACCGGAUUUACUGGGUUUAAAGGGAGCGUAGGCGGACUAUUAAGUCAGUGGUGAAAGCUUGCAGCUUAACUGUAAAAUUGCCAUUGAAACUGAUAGUCUUGAAUAUGGUUGAGGUGGUUGGAAUAUAUCAUGUAGCGGUGAAAUGCUUAGAUAUGAUAUAGAACACCGAUUGCGAAGGCAGAUCACUAAACCAUUAUUGACGCUGAGGCUCGAAAGCGUGGGGAUCAAACAGG
rnacentral:rRNA from 1 species